CUCCAGGCUUCUCCCUCCCUCCUUUUCUUCCUCACUAUCUCCUCCCUCCUUCUUCUGCCUCCGCCUUUGGGGAGGGACUUCGCCGCCCCGCGCCAGCAUCCAGGGUCGAGGUUCUCCACUCUGCUCCUUGCGACGCAGGCCCAGACCCCUCCCCUCCGGUCUCGGCUCCACAUUCUGCCCCAUCUCAUCCGAUCUCCUUGCCCAGUGCCACGCUGAACUCUUUUUGGCCUGGACCGGGUGGUCGUUUCUGCUCUACUUCUCCAAGUAAGGCCCCUCCUCCUGGGUCCUCUGGUUCCAGUGAGGGGCAGGAAGGUCGGCACCCAGCCUCCUCCAGCAAGAAAAUGCCAUCGGGGGAGGGGCCUGCAAGGUCAGAGGAACCAGGGACUGUGACUACAGGACCAGAGAGCUGACAAUGUAAGAACCAGCCCUGCCCUGUGUGACAGAAGCAAGAAGAGGACAGCUGACCUCCAUGCCUAAGUACAAACCCCACUGUGCACUGUGUCCAAAGGUUCCAACUGGAGGGGCCCGGUAUCCUGGUGUCUUACAGCCCGGGGCCUGUGUAAUCCUUCUCUCAAAGGAUGGUCUCAGUACAUUGGCGACGUACACCCAGCAGUAUAAACAAAUAUCAGAAGAGAAAA